UUGUAAUUGCGUUAACAACAUUCUUUAUUUUGGGGUUUCAGAAGCAAGCAUAUUUUGAUGAAUGCUGGAAGAAGAAUUCAGUCGCAGUUUGGACAAGUUGCCGGUAGAGGGCGCAAUGCAAGAAAAUGCUGCGGAGGUGCUGCUUCCGUUUACGGGUAGUGCUUCUUUUUCUCAUCCCAACCGAAGUGGCGUCGGUCUCCCAGCCGUUCUAUCCUACGGAUUCUUCAUGCAUCACUCCAAGCAACCUUUUUUCUCGUCACCGUGGAGUUAUGGAGUCUGUCUAGCUGAUCAGAGAGCUAGCUUGCGCAGCUGGCGGGUCCAUGGCGGUGACUUGUAUUUUGUUUGAUCAGCCGUUUUACUGCCGUGUUACAGACACCGUUUGGAAACACUUAAGUUGCCAUCUCCUGAAGUUGUUGGCUGUGUCGGCGGGAACUGUUACAUGAUGUACAUUUCAGGACAACAAAGACUGGAUUACAACUAUAAAGAAGAUAUUUGCCUUGGAGACAUUCAGGCAGGGACACAGACAUUUUUAAGUUCUAUACAUACCCUCGUCCAUCUUAUUGCCCCUGGGUAUUGAAUACAUGGAGGAAGAGCUAUUUCAUUAUUGUUAGUAAGACCUUAGGCUGGGAUGAGCAAAUAAUGUGUGUCAAACUCAUUAUUUGCUCAUCCACAUUGUUUGAUGUGAAAGCCUGGAAAUAAUGUGCACUUCCUUUUUCUUGCUAAACAUAUUCCUUCUGUCAAAUCUCAUGUCUUCUUCAACUUGACAACUGUCUGAUUGUGCAAAAAGCAUGACACGUGUCCAAAGCUGCAGUUUUGUUUGUUGGACUAUAACAACGUCAAAAAGAGCAAAUGUUUUGUGAUGUAAUGCUAAAACAUGUCACAUAGUAAAAAUGCGGGGGGCCAUUCUUUCACUUCAUGAAAACAAACACAUCACAACAUAAGCUUUGUGUUAUAAGUGACUAUGAGUGUAUUAUUAUUAUUAUGAGUUGUUAGAAUCAAAAGCCUAGUUUAUUUUGACUGUAGUUGUAAAGACCCAGCAGCUGAAAAUCAAACAUUUGCUUAGUAGGCAAAUAGUGAGAGCAUUCCUGACUUGGUCUUUAGAGUUCUUUUCCACUUUACAUCUCCAUAUUUAUUGUCAAAUGUGCAGACUUUUAGCAUUUUGUAAUCUUCUGAAUUUGGAAGAAUAUACCUGGACAUAAUGAAGGUUUUUUUAUUCCAGCAAUUAUAUUUACAAGAUGAAACUAAUACAGUGUUCCCUCGCUACAACACGCUUCACUUUACACGGCCUCGCUGUUACACCCAUCUUUUUUGUGUGUGUAUUUUUUCGGUCAUGGUGGCCACCGUGGCGUGCACAGCGGCAGGUGGUAUCAGGACCGGCGGGGGCAGUGAGGGGUGCACCACCUCCAUGACCACACGGUUGUCCAACGAGACCGAGCCCCUUCGAGACCCGGCCCGUCGGAGACGUGCGGGGCGCACCACCUCCUCAACGGCACGGGUGUCUACCCAGACCGAGUCCACUUGAGACCCGGGCCUGCCGGAGCGUGUCGGCCGUCAGCCUGCGCCCCAAGUGUGCCUUGGCCCACGCCGAGGCCACCUGGAAUGGAGCUUUCCAGUUGUGUGAAAUAAAACCCCCCAGUUUAUCCACUUCUGAUUGAAGUGCUUUAUUGUAGUGUUCUCUGAGAAUUAGGACCGUGGUAUAUGCCCAAUUUUUAGCAUUUUCCCUUUAGCAGGUCUUCUGUGUCAGGGUUGGUGACAGCUGGUCUAAUUCCCGUCGUCAAGGUAAGUUCCAUCCUAGUGAUGGUUUGUGGUUGGUGAUCCUUGCUGACGUUUUUUAAAUGAUGUUAUACAUCAUUUUAGCUAUUGAGCUAAAAUCAUUGUCCUGAUUAUCAGGAUGAGAUGCCCUGGGGGGACGUGUCUUAUUAUUCCUGGCUGUAUUUCUAUUGGGGCGUUUUCCCCGUGCUGGUUUUUGUUUAUUAACCUUCUGAUUAGCCCUAUAAGUACCCCUGGGGUUGGGAGGGUCAUAAUAGGUAGGGUGGAAAUUUACCCUGUUUUGAGGGGGCAUAUCAUAUGCUGAAAAAUUGGAAUAUAUAGUGUUCUGUUACCACUAAAAGUUGUAAACUCUUGUUGUUGAAAUGUGUUGUGCUUAAAUAAGCUUCUUAUGUAAUUAACAUUACAUGUGUAUUUGUCGCCAUCAUGUGGUCAUGGCAGUUACUACAUCAUUGAGAAGUGUGUAUUUUGAAUCAAACUUUAUUGACCGGAAGUUGCAUAAGCCAAGCAGAGCAAUCUACAGUGCCAGCACGUACUUUAUGGUGGUUAUUUUCGAAGAAAUACUGCAUAUAUCUUUUGUUUAAGGUUGCAUCGCCGGUAUGUGUCAUAAGUUUAACUAAAAUAUUUCGAGCUAAAUUUAUGAUUUUUGAUGUAUGAUCUUUGCCAUACUCAUUAGCAAUAGUUUGCGAUGUCAUCUAAGAUGGCGUCGUAGUACAAAUUCACUUUGUUUACCUUCU